UGGGACGUCGGCAAGCGGUUAAGCCUCCGGGUUUUGAUCCCGGCAUACGUAGGUUCGAAUCCUACCGUCCCAG
rnacentral:tRNA from 1 species